AAAUUGUUCACAAUCCCAAAUUUUUGAGCUAAUCCGGAUAAUAGAACUGCAUGAGAAGUCAUUAUCAGAGACUAGCAUAAAAGAUAAGAAACACAUACAGAGGUUGGAAGAAGAGCUAUUGAACUGCUCUCAAAAAAUAGAUUACCUUAACGAUCAGCUU